rnacentral:rRNA from 1 species
GACGAACCGCCCGAACGUUAUUCGGAAUCACUGGGCUUAAAGGGCGCGUAGGCGGGCCUGAAAGUCAGGGGUGAAAUCCCACGGCUCAACCGUGGAAGUGCCUCUGAUACUUCAGGCCUCGAGGGAGGUAGGGGCGUGCGGAACUUCCGGUGGAGCGGUGAAAUGCGUAGAUAUCGGAAGGAACGUCGGUGGCGAAAGCGGCGCGCUGGACCUCUUCUGACGCUGAGGCGCGAAAGCCAGGGGAGCGAACGGG